rnacentral:rRNA from 1 species
CCUACGGGAGGCAGCAGUGGGGAAUAUUGCACAAUGGGGGAAACCCUGAUGCAGCGACGCCGCGUGAGUGAAGAAGUAAUUCGUUACGUAAAGCUCUAUCAGCAGGGAAGAAAUACUGACCUUACGGUCAGCAGACGGUACCUGAGUAAGAAGCCCCGGCUCACUACGUGCCAGCGGCCGCGGUAAUACGUAGGGGGCAAGCGUUAUCCGGGUUUACUGGGUGUAAAGGGAGCGUAGACGGGGCGGCAAGUGUGGAGUGAAAUGUCGCAGCUUAACUGCGGAACUGCUUUGGAAACUGGCGACCUAGAGUGCGGGAGGGGUAAGCGGAAUUCCUAGUGUAGCGGUGAAAUGCGUAGAUAUCAGGAGGAACACCGGUGGCGAAGGCGGCUUACUGGACCGCAACUGACGUUGAGGCUCGAAAGCGUGGGGAGCAAACAGGAGUAGAUACCCGGGUAGUC